GNAGAGUUUGAUUCUGGCUCAGAACGAACGCUGGCGGCGUGCUUAACACAUGCAAGUCGCGUGCGCAGUUUCCGUAGCAAUACGGGGAUGGGCGCACGGCGCACGGGUGCGUAACACGUGGGCAAUCUGCCCUCCGAUGGGGAAUACCCCCGCGAAAGCGGGACUAAUUCCGCAUAACAUUCCUUGGAUUAACUUUCGAGGAUUCAAAGCAGCAAUGCGUCGGAGGAGGAGCCCGCGCCCGAUUAGCUAGUUGGUGAGGUAACGGCUCACCAAGGCAAUGAUCGGUAGCUGGUCUGAGAGGAUGGCCAGCCACACUGGAACUGAGACACGGUCCAGACUCCUACGGGAGGCAGCAGUGGGGAAUCUUGCACAAUGGGCGAAAGCCUGAUGCAGCGACGCCGCGUGGGGGAUGAAGCUUUUCGGAGUGUAAACCCCUUUCGACUGGGACGAAUGCCUCGCAAGAGGAGUGACGGUACCAGUAUAAGAAGCCCCGGCUAACUACGUGCCAGCAGCCGCGGUAAGACGUAGGGGGCCAGCGUUGUUCGGAAUUACUGGGUGUAAAGGGUUCGUAGGCGGUGUGGCAAGUCGGGAGUGAAAUCUCUGGGCUCAACCCAGAGACUGCUUCCGAAACUGCUGUGCUUGAGUGUGAGAGAGGCUCGUGGAAUUGCAGGUGUAGCGGUGAAAUGCGUAGAUAUCUGCAGGAACACCCGUGGCGAAAGCGGCGAGCUGGAUCACUACUGACGCUGNNNAACGAAAGCUAGGGGAGCAA
rnacentral:rRNA from 1 species